AUUGAACGCUGGCGGCGGGCUUAACACAUGCAAGUCGAGCGGGGUGAUGGUGCUUGCACUAUCACUUAGCGGCGGACGGGUGAGUAAUGCUUAGGAAUCUGCCUAUUAGUGGGGGACAACAUCUCGAAAGGGAUGCUAAUACCGCAUACGUCCUACGGGAGAAAGCAGGGGAUCACUUGUGACCUUGCGCUAAUAGAUGAGCCUAAGUCGGAUUAGCUAGUUGGUGGGGUAAAGGCCUACCAAGGCGACGAUCUGUAGCGGGACUGAGAGGAUGAUCCGCCACACUGGGACUGAGACACGGCCCAGACUCCUACGGGAGGCAGCAGUGGGGAAUAUUGGACAAUGGGGUGAACCCUGAUCUAGCCAUGCCGCGUGUGUGAAGAAGGCCUUAUGGUUGUAAAGCACUUUAAGCGAGGAGGAGGCUCUUUUGGUUAAUACCCAAGAUGAGUGGACGUUACUCGCAGAAUAAGCACCGGCUAACUCUGUGCCAGCCGCCGCAGUAA
rnacentral:rRNA from 1 species